AUGACUGUCCCUUUCAACAAGUUCGCCAGGUCCCCCACCUGGACUGCUUCCAUUGACCACACCUCCUGCCUGGCCCUGCACACUUGGAUGUUCGCCACACCUAAUAUACAUGGAAUUGCAAGGAAGAAAGUCCUGUGUAAGAGAACACAAACCAUAAGAGCAAGAACUGGAAAACUCUAUUGGGUCAAACUUGAAAGGAUGCUCCAACUGGGAGAGAAGAAGAGACUGAUGAAGGAAGGCAUGGUCUGAAGCGUCACCUGCCGCUGAGAGAGUCUUAAGAGGCAAGCGAUGAAGAGAAAGCAGUAGGGUAACAUGGUGAUCAUGGCUCUCACAGCUGCUCAGAAGGGGACUCAAACUCAGACAUGUCUGUUAGCAAAGCUGGUCUUCUUUCCCUCAGGUCAUAUUGUCUCCACCUCAGAAAGGCAUGGGAGGAGAGAAAGCCAGAUGCACAGUAGCUUUUGGUAUUAAUAUCAAGAAAGAAUGGUGGUGAAGUUUGGAUGAGUGGCCUGGAUCCAGCCUCUAAAGGGCCUUGGAUCCCAAAGGAGGACCCGAAGACAGUGUACUAUCUAGUUUCCACAGGGAAGAUAUGAUUCAGCCAGGCCCCCUCCGGUGAAGCUUGCAUCCCUGGGCUGGGAACUAUCUGACAACUUUGGACCAGGGCAAAGAAACCAGGCCUUCUUUAGCCAAACAGUAGAAAUAAGACUGUCUUCAGGGGCAGAGCUGCUGGACAUCAUUAGCCAGGCUUUUGUUCCAGGCAUUAAAAAAAAAAAUAAGGAACAUUAAGACUGAGGCCAGACUUAGGGUUAGAACCUUGCUUGGAAUGCCCAGAGCUUUCCUUUUUAUUCAAGACCCAAAUUAGCAUUAUCAUGUGCUUUUUCGCAUGAAGACUAAGCCAUCUGCAUUUCCUUUUUAAAACUAAUGAUCUUUAUGCUUAAAAUGACAAAUGAUACUGGUAUGUUAUAGAGUAUAUGUUGUAUUUAUCUUUAUGGUCACCCUAUGACUUGGACUCAAUAGUAAUGAGAGAAGGAGUUUCUACUGUAGCUCAGUGGUAGCAAACUUGACUAGUAACUAUGAGGACAUGAAUUUUGUGGCCUCGCUCAGCGGGUUAAGGAUCCGGCAUUGCCCUGAGCUGUGAUGUAGGUCACAGGUGCGGCUUGGAUCUGUUGUUGCUGUGGGUGUGGUGUAAGCCAGCAGCUGCAGCUCUGAUUUGACCCCUAGCCUGGGAACUUCCAUAUGCCACAGGUAUGGCCCUAAAAAGAAAAAAAAAAUAGUAAUGAGAGGAAAGUUUUUCCUGAAUUCCUGUGCGUUAGAUCAUGUAAUAAUGAGAAAAAAUUUUGCCUGUCUUCUUCAGGCUAAGCUCAGAGGAUCUACUCCAACUUUCUGAGGAAUAAGUUAAAUGUACAUAGAUCAAUAGCAGGAUCAUAUGUUGAUUAUGAUAAGAAGGCUGUGCUUCCUCCUGCGCUGUACUUUUGCAGAGCAUAAGGAUAAAAACUCUUCCUCUCAGUCUUAGUAACUUAGUUAUUUUAUAUAAAGUGUUUCAAUUUCAACGAAGAAUGUUAUUUCCUAGCAUGAGAUAUAAGCAUGUAUGAAUUUAAAAUCAGUCAUCUUUAUAUCUGUUUCUUCAAGGAUAUAUUGAACAUAGAAUUUGCUAAAAACACCAGUGAGCCCAUAAAAUAUUCAAUGGCAUCCACAUAAAAGGUAAUGGCAGACAAACAUCUUCUGAAACACUUAUAUCAGAAAUAGGGUCAGCCAGUAUCUGAGGAGGUGACAGGCUGAUCUGAAAGACUUAAUUGUAUGGGUAGCUCAAGAAGCCCCAGGCAGAGGGUAUGAGCCUGAGACUCUUCUUGCACAGGAGCAAAGGGCAAAAGUUCCUGGUAGCAGAUGUUGUUUCACCACAUGCAUAACUUUGGGGAUUAGCAUUCUCAAUGAUUCCCAUUUUGGCUCAGCAGAAACUUCUCCUCCCCACCACUGUCCAUUUGCCCAUUCGUUCAACAAUUUUUAAAGGUAGAAACUAUGCUAGGGACAGGGAAAGCUCAAAGACUGAGGCAGGACUGCUCUCUGUAACAAACUGCAGGCAUCUUGGAGGGUUCUGACCCAAUAUAUCUGUACUUUGGGAUUAUAACUCUGUAUUAGAAAUGAAGGUUACUGUCAUCUAUUUUUUUAAAUAAUCUCUCUGCCUAUUGUGAUUUGUGGAUAUGACAAAUUUCUCCAUGUUCUUAUGACUCUUUCCUCUUCCUUUUCUACCAUGAUAGAAGGAAAUAAGACAUAAUAUUGAAAGAGCUAAAUAUGUUUCUUCUCCCUACACUUCCCCUGCUCUGCCAAAGACAUGGCAGAAGUCAAAUUCCUUUUCACUUAUUAAACCAUACAGCGUAUAAGAACAGUUAUCAUGGAGGCACUUUCUUUUGCACCUAUUGAAAACCCUCAAUUCAUGAACAGCGAACAUAUCACUGGAGACAGUGUCUGGAGUGAUAUUAGUAUAGCUAAAAAUAGGGAUAAAAAUCACUUAAGAAUCCUUUUUAAAAAUGGCCAACAAUAGCAUCCUAUAUAUAGGAUAGGAUAGAUACAUAUGCAGUAGUAAUUAUGCUGUUUCCUGUUAACUGUAUCUCUUAUUGCUAACUAUAUGCAUAACAUAAUUAUUUUACCUUUAAAUUAUAUUACCUACUGAUAUAUUGAGAACAAACUGAUCCUCUAAGAUUUGGUAAUUUGGCCCAUUUUAAUACUAUGUUGAAAUAAUGAAUUCAGAUUGAAAGAAGGAAAUUACACCAACCUACAUCCUAUUUAGAUUCAUAUAAGAGUUUUGAUGCCCACACGGAUGCUAGAAGGGACCAGAAGUUCUCAUUUCCAGGCUUCUUCUGCUCCCAAAUCCCCCACUGCAGCAGGGUGCAUGUUCACUGCCCCUUGAGGACAGCUGAGGGUCUAACUGAAGUCACAUCCCUAGCAUGUGAUUUGGGAAGUGGCGGACAAUAAAGUCUUUAUAGAUGAUCA
rnacentral:lncRNA from 1 species